rnacentral:snoRNA from 1 species
AUGCAUCUACUUGACAGGCCUGGAGCAGUUAAUGUCUACUUCUAAGGUUUCCAGCCCAUGGAUGCUAAAACAGUGCCUUCUCAUGCUUUCUGUCCGUCUGAUUGUGGCAGCCAAGAUUGAAAGAGGGAAAACAGGA